GCUGAAACAUCAUAAUAUGUGAUUAUUUGGAGUUUUUUAGUUUCUUAUGUGUACAAAAAUUAACGCCCAAUGAUUUAGUUCUGAUUGUUGCAUUCCAAGGUAGAAUUCGACUACAUUAAUCAAUUCACCGAAAUUGCCUCUAUAAAAUAUGGAAUGUGGUUCGGAGAAAUUUCAGGUGCUGGACUGCCAUCUCUGCUGCUGCUACUACUAGAAGCAGAAGAUUCUGAGUCACUAGAACUAGAACCUGAACUGUCGGAAGAGGAUCUCGAAGAUCUUCGUUUUCCCCGUGCUCUUGCUAAGGCAG